AGGACGAACGCUGGCGGCGUGCUUAACACAUGCAAGUCGAACGGUGAUCUCGGUGCUUGCACCGGGUGAUCAGUGGCGAACGGGUGAGUAACACGUGAGUAACCUGCCCCCGACUCUGGGAUAACCCCGGGAAAUCGGAGCUAAUACCGGAUACGAGACGCACAGGCAUCUGUAGCGUCUGGAAAGAAUUUUCGGUCGGGGAUGGACUCGCGGCCUAUCAGCUAGUUGGUGGGGUAACGCCCACAAGGCGACGACGGGUA
rnacentral:rRNA from 1 species